UACGUAGGGUGCGAGCGUUGUCCGGAUUUAUUGGGCGUAAAGAGCUCGUAGGUGGUUCGGUAAGUCGGAUGUGAAAUCUCCAGGCUCAACCUGGAGGGGUCAUUCGAUACUGCCGUGACUAGAGUUCGGUAGGGGAGUGUGGAAUUCCUGGUGGAGCGGUGAAAUGCGCAGAUAUCAGGAGGAACACCGAUGGCGAAGGCAGGUCACUGGGCCGCAACUGACGCUGAGGAGCGAAAGCAUGGGGAGCGAACAGG
rnacentral:rRNA from 1 species